GUCGUAACAAGGUCUCCGUUGGUGAACCAGCGGAGGGAUCAUUACCGAGUUUACAACUCCCAAACCCCUGUGAACAUACCUAUACGUUGCCUCGGCGGAUCAGCCCGCGCCCUGUAAAAAGGGACGGCCCGCCCGAGGACCCUAAACUCUGUUUUUAGUGGAACUUCUGAGUAAAACAAACAAAUAAAUCAAAACUUUCAACAACGGAUCUCUUGGUUCUGGCAUCGAUGAAGAACGCAGCAAAAUGCGAUAAGUAAUGUGAAUUGCAGAAUUCAGUGAAUCAUCGAAUCUUUGAACGCACAUUGCGCCCGCCAGUAUUCUGGCGGGCAUGCCUGUUCGAGCGUCAUUUCAACCCUCAAGCUCAGCUUGGUGUUGGGACUCGCGGUAACCCGCGUUCCCCAAAUCGAUUGGCGGUCACGUCGAGCUUCCAUAGCGUAGUAAUCAUACACCUCGUUACUGGUAAUCGUCGCGGCCACGCCGUAAAACCCCAACUUCUGAAUGUUGACCUCGGAUCAGGUAGGAAUACCCGCUGAACUUAAGCAUAUCA
rnacentral:rRNA from 1 species